AGCGAACGCUGGCGGCAGGCCUAACACAUGCAAGUCGAACGAUCCUUCGGGAUAGUGGCGGACGGGUGAGUAACACGUGGGAACGUGCCUUUUGGUUCGGAACAACUCAGGGAAACUUGAGCUAAUACCGAAUGUGCCCUUCGGGGAAGGAUUUAUCGCCAUUAGAGCGGCCCGCGUCUGAUUAGCUAGUUGGUGAGGUAAAGG
rnacentral:rRNA from 1 species